GACGAACGCUGGCGGCGUGCUUAACACAUGCAAGUCGAACGAAGUGGCGAACGGGUGAGUAACGCGUAAUCAACCUGCCCUUCAGAGGGGGACAACAGUUGGAAACGACUGCUAAUACCGCAUACUUAAGGAGGGGGUUGCGUGGGAUUCGCUAGUUGGCGGGGUAACGGCCCACCAAGGCGAUGAGUAGUAGCCGGUCUGGAGGGAGGAAAGGCCCAAUUGGGAAUUGGACACGGCCCAGACUCCUACGGGAGGCAGCCGUGGGGAAUCUUCCGCAAUGGACGAAAGUCUGACGGAGCAACGCCGCGUGAGUGAUGACGGCCUUCGGGUUGGAAAGCUCUGUUAAGCGGGACGCGGUACCGGAAUAGAAAGCCACGGCUAACUACGUGCCAGCAGCCGCGGUAAUAC
rnacentral:rRNA from 1 species